rnacentral:lncRNA from 1 species
GAGUUGCCUUUGUAUGCUGGGAGGACCAAGCCGGAGGUUCCCACUAUGAGCCCGGAGUCUGUGCAGCCAGAUGACGCAUGAGCUCUAUUCAAAAUACCCAAGAUUUGGAAGCAACCUAAGUGCAUAUCAGCAGACAAAUGGAUAAAGAAAAUGUGGUACAUAUACAAAAUGGAGUACUAUUCAGCUGUAAAAAAGAAUGAGAUCCUGUCAUUUGCAACAACAUGCAUGCAACUGGAGGUCGUUAUGCCUCUGCCUCUGAAUGUGAAGGGAAACUGGACCAGCUCAGUGUCAAGCCUACAGACAUUUCCUUGUUCCUGGGGACUGAGCAGUUUGAAGUUUCCAAAGAUGAAAACAUCUACUCUGAAGAGACCUGAAUGGACAAGAGAUGUUUUCCUCUUCCUUACCAUAAUAAAAGAGGACUGCUCCUGACCACAGGAUAUGCCUGGUCCAGGAAAUGGCCACAUUUCCCCCCUCAGGACCUCUACUUGGAUGGGCUGCCUUGGAAAUAAGUAUACUGGAUUGGAAACCCAUUCAAUCUGAUGUCUGCUGAGGAAUGGAGAAAGACCACUGGUGAUUCCUCCAUCCUCACUCCUGUGUCCCUCCUUGCAUUGCAAGUGCUUUACAAGUCUUCCCGAUAGACCAUGAGCAUCCUGAGGGCUGGUAUCAAAUUUAACUCAUCUCCUAUCCUCAGUGCCUCGUACAAGAUGCUGGAUGUAGGAGGAGUUCAGAAGCUCAAACUGAGGCAGAAUCACAGCGAUUUGGAAAAUGGUCCAAUCAGCUAUAGUGGAAGAGCAGAAUCAUUGAAUAUAAAACAUGGAGAUGUCAGCAGCAGGGGCUGUGAGCUGAACAGCUUCACUGGGAAGAGGAUAUGGGUGAGAAGGUACAGCAAUGGGUACCUCCAUUAACAGGUAAGCUGGAUCCUCCAUAGGAAUAGGCACUAGCUGGUUUUGGAUGAAGGUGUCGUAAGAUCAGAUACACUUUUGGGUGAUCAGCAUGAUCUGGGUAUGGACAUGGCAGAGCAGGUGGAAGGGAAGGGACCAAUAUGUGUCAAUAACCAUCUAUGAGCCAGGCACUUACCGGGAAGUAUAAUGUCUUUGUAGUUAGACAGACCAGUAGUGUCUGUUGCUCUGGAGGAAGUUACUUAAACUCACCAAGACUCAGUUUUCUCUGUAUUAAAAUGAUGACACCUACCUCACUAUCUGGCCAUUGGGAUUAAAUAUGAGAAUAUGUGUGAAAAUUUAUGUCAUAUGGUAAGCACUCAGAUGUUUCCUGGUGGAACAGCAUGGUGUGGAUUAGGAACAUCCAAACUCUGACAUCAAGCUGAACUUUUGAAAUAGAGGCCUCCCUGCUCACUAGUUGGGCAACCUUGAACAAGCUAGUUAAACUGUCUAGAGCUCAGUUUUGUUAUCUGGUGAGAUUAAUAGCAUUGAAUGGUGUAAAGCACAUUCUCAGUAAAUGCUCAUUAUUAUGAUUAUAGUUAUUAAUGUUUAUUUAACUUUGAAAUAAUAAUGUGUAGGAGCUCCUCAGGUAGAUAAUGGAAAUAAGAAAUUUCUUAGGUCAUGGAAGCAUGGAGGUAUGGAAAAUUUUGGAGAACAAAGAGGAGUCUGGUGAAGUAGGGUGGGGAUACUGGGCAGAUGCAAAGAUUGCCAAGGGUUAUAUCAUAAAGGCCGGGAUACCAGCCUGGCAUCAACUGCCUUAGAUUGGGAAGAUGCAAAACUGUGGUCUGGAGUCAGCCCUGCAGAAGCCUGUUUCCUGACUUUCCAUCUUCAAUCUCUUUUCUAUGCAGUUACCAGAGUCAUGUUUUGAAAUCUCAAAUCUGAGCAUCUAUCCUCAAAUAGAGGCCUACAUGGCUUCCAGUUCCUCCAGGAGAAGGUCCAAAUCCCUUAAGAUGACUUUAAGGCCCUCAAGUGUUCCAGGCUCUGUACGUUCUUGUGCCACAACUAUGCCACAACAAAACAGUUUUUCCCCCAUUUCUACUUUGUUUUUCCAGCUGUAGAGUCAAAGCCUCAAGA